CUUGNNCGCGGAGGACAUUACAGUGACCCCGGUCUAACCACCGGGAUGUUCAUAACCCUUUGUUGUCCNACUCUGAUUGCCUCCGGGGCGACCCUGCCUUCGGGCGGGGGCUCCGGGUGGACACUUCAAACUCUUGCGUAACUUUGCAGUCUGAGUAAACUUAAUUAAUAAAUUAAAACUUUUAACAACGGAUCUCUUGGUUCUGGCAUCGAUGAAGAACGCAGCGAAAUGCGAUAAGUAAUGUGAAUUGCAGAAUUCAGUGAAUCAUCGAAUCUUUGAACGCACAUUGCGCCCCCUGGUAUUCCGGGGGGCAUGCCUGUUCGAGCGUCAUUUCACCACUCAAGCCUCGCUUGGUAUUGGGCAACGCGGUCCGCCGCGUGCCUCAAAUCGACCGGCUGGGUCUUCUGUCCCCUAAGCGUUGUGGAAACUAUUCGCUAAAGGGUGUUCGGGAGGCUACGCCGUAAAACAACCCCAUUUCUAAGGUUGACCUCGGAUCAGGUAGGGAUACCCGCUGAACUUAAGCAUAUCAAUAAGCGGAGGAA
rnacentral:rRNA from 1 species